UACAGAGGUCCCAAGCGUUGUUCGGAUUCAUUGGGCGUAAAGGGUGCGUAGGUGGCGGGGUAAGUUGGAUGUGAAGUCUCGGGGCUCAACCCCGAAACUGCAUUCAAUACCGCUCUGCUCGAGUACUGGAGAGGAGAUCGGAAUUUACGGUGUAGCGGUGAAAUGCGUAGAUAUCGUAAGGAAGACCAGUGGCGAAGGCGGGUCUCUGGACAGUUCCUGACGCUGAGGCACGAAGGUCAGGGGAGCAAACGGG
rnacentral:rRNA from 1 species